rnacentral:lncRNA from 1 species
GGCAUUUAGUGGGGAGUGAGUGGAGCAGGGAAUGAGAUAGUGGGUUUUUUUGUUUUUAGUGGAUUGGGUAUCCAAUGUAAGAAAAAAAUAUCCCCUAAUUAUUAUUUAUUUGAACAUAAAAAUUUACUAAUAAUUAAUUUAAAAAAAACUCUAACUAAUAUUUUAAAAAAACUCUAACUAAUAUUAUAAAAAAAAUCUAACCAAUAUUUAAUUAAAUAGCUAAUAUUUAAAAAAAAA